UUGUACAUCGCGAUCACACCACACACCCCCCUCCUGACACUUGAAAACAAACAGCUCUUUAGUGUUAUCCUUCACUAAAGUGAAUUGAGUGGUUAAAAUAAUGAGGAGGCCACCGUGCCUCUCCCGUCCUCCUCCUCCUUCUCCACCUCUACCUUUCCAACCUCUCAGACCAAACUUCCACUUCUCUCUCUCCACUUCGGCUUCUUUAUUCCUCUUCAACUUCAAACCAAAGCGCUUUCACUUCCUCAAGCCAUGCUCUUCCCUCAAAGAAACAAAGAAACAACAGACCCUUCAAAAAGCUACACCCGGCAACCCCCCACAGAGCCUCAGAAGGCUCUUGAAUUUGGACUCCAAGGGCGACGGGGAUGCCAAAGACGGCGUUGACAGUGGUGGUGAUGGAGGGUUGGAAGGUGAGACUGCUGUUAGAGGGACCCUCUUGGCUGGUCUGUUGCUCGUCGGCGUUGUUGGUGGAUUUGGGACUGUUGGGUACCUCUACAAAGAUCAGAUUAAUGCCUUCUUGACGCAGUUCUCGGGCUUCAUUGAAGGUUAUGGGCCAGCUGGAUAUGCUCUAUUUGUAGCGGUGUAUGCUGGAUUAGAAAUCCUUGCAAUACCUGCCAUUCCAUUGACCAUGUCAGCCGGUCUUCUAUUUGGCUCUGUUAUUGGAACGAUCAUUGUCUCUAUCAGUGGAACAGUAGCAGCAAGUGUUGCCUUUCUAAUUGCAAGAUAUUUUGCUCGGGAGCGUAUUCUUAAACUAGUAGAGGGAAACAAGAAAUUUCUUGCAAUUGACAAAGCAAUUGGAGAAAAUGGGUUCAGAGUUGUUACGCUACUCCGAUUGAGCCCUUUGCUUCCAUUUUCUCUUGGAAACUAUUUGUAUGGACUUACAUCUGUUAAGUUCGCUCCUUACGUGUUGGGAAGGACAUGUGUUUGAAGAGGAUUUUUGUCAGGGGAUAUAAGCAUGAUGGCCUCUACUACUUUAGGGAUCCUCCACCGACACCUCCUCCACUUGCUUCAAGCCUUUAAGCCUCUGUUCUUCCUGUUUCUAGAUCCAAAAUGCUGGGGUAAAGAUGUGGAGAUUGGUCAUUGGAUGAUGCAUUAUCUGAGUUGCAUAUAAUCAAUUAAUUUUGUCAUAUAAGGUAGAAUAGUUGUUACUAGGAAUCAUGUCUGAAAUCAUGGACAUCAUUUUGAUCCACUGUGAAACUCAAAUAUCCAUUUGAAUUGUCUCUUAAUUUCUGAUACAAAUUCAACUAAUAAAUGUCAUGCAGUUGGUUGGGGAUGCUUCCCGGAUCAUGGGCUUAUGUAAGUGCUGGUGCAUUCGGCCGGGCAAUUAU